rnacentral:rRNA from 1 species
GACGAACGCUGGCGGCGUGCCUAACACAUGCAAGUCGAGCGAGUGAAUCUCCUUCGGGAGUGAAGCUAGCGGCGGACGGGUGAGUAACAUGUGGGCAACCUGCCUCAUAGAGGGGAAUAGCCUUUCGAAAGGAAGAUUAAUACCGCAUAAGAUUGUAGCUUCGCAUGAAGUAGCAGUUAAAGGAGCAAUCCGAUAUGAGAUGGGCCCGCGGCGCAUUAGCUAGUUGGUGAGGUAACGGCUCACCAAGGCGACGAUGUGUAGCCGACCUGAGAGGUUGAUCGGCCACAUUGGGACUGAGACACGGCCCAGACUCCUACGGGAGGCAGCAAUGGGGAAUAUUGCACAAUGGGGGAAACCCUGAUGCAGCAACGCCGCGUGAGUGAUGACGGCCUUCGGGUUGUAAAGCUCUGUCUUCAGGGACGAUAAUGACGGUACCUGAGGAGGAAGCCACGGCUAACUACGUGCCAGCCGCCCGCCGUAACAC